rnacentral:rRNA from 1 species
CAUUACCACAUCCAAAAAACUAUCCACCCACUUGUGUGCACUGUUUUCUUUGGUCUGCUGCCAGGCGCUGUUUGGGUUUUUGAAAGAAAACCCAAAAAAAACGACUGGCUGCGGGCCGAGGGACUUGUUCAAAAAACCACUUGUAAAACCCUUUUUUAAUCACAAUUAAAACCAAACAAAACGAAACUUGAGAGACAACUUUUAACGAUGGAUCUCUUGGCUCGUGCAUCGAUGAAGAACGCAGCAAGCUGCGAUACGUAAUGUGAAUUGCAGAAUUCAGUGAAUCAUCGAAUCUUUGAACGCAAAUGGCGCUGGCGAGAGAUCGCCAGCAUGCCUGUCUGAGUGUCAUUUUCUCCAUCUUGGUGCACUCGUCCGCUCGCUGCUCUUCGGAGGAGCCGGGCUGGCGCGCACACCAGUGUUGAGGUUGUCACGCCGAACGCUCGUGCUGUCAAACGUCUUCGGACGGGCGACAAACAUGAGCGCAAGGCGCGUCCCUUGAAACAUGGCGACGGCAUGAACUCGAAACUGCCUCGUGUAGUUUCUUCGCUCACCGCCUGAACGCAUUCCAAACUCGCCACUGCAAAACUCCUAUAUUUUUUUAACCGGCUCGGUUGUAAAGAAUGUUUUUGCGUGUGUCAUUAGAAGGUCUCUGACCCUUUAAUAUCAUGCCGAAGCAAGCUGUACAGCCGGUCGAUUAGAGCGUAGGCAAGGGCCGCAGCGACGGGGUGUUCAAGCGGGAAGAAACAACAUCGCGAGCGCAAAACCGAGUCUGUGCUUCCAAAAGUCUACCGAACUAAACAUUCAACUUUUGACCUCAGAUCAGAC